rnacentral:rRNA from 1 species
UAGGGAAUUUUCCGCAAUGGGCGAAAGCCUGACGGAGCAACGCCGCGUGAGUGAAGACGGCCUUCGGGUUGUAAAACUCUGUUUCUUGGGGAAGAAGAAAGUGACGGUACCCAAGGAGAAAGCCCCGGCUAACUACGUGCCAGCAGCCGCGGUAAUACGUAGGGGGCGAGCGUUAUCCGGAUUUAUUGGGCGUAAAGCGCGCGCAGGCGGUCAGGUAAGUCGGAUGUGAAAGGCUACGGCUCAACCGUAGAGCGGCAUCCGAAACUGCUUGACUUGAGUGCAGGAGAGGAGAGUGGAAUUCCCGGUGUAGCGGUGGAAUGCGUAGAGAUCGGGAGGAACACCAGUGGCGAAGGCGACUCUCUGGACUGUAACUGACGCUGAGGCGCGAAAGCGUGGGGAGCAAACAGGAUUAGAUACCCUGGUA